rnacentral:rRNA from 1 species
AGUGAACGCUGGCGGUAGGCCUAACACAUGCAAGUCGAACGGCAGCACAGUAAGAGCUUGCUCUUACGGGUGGCGAGUGGCGGACGGGUGAGGAAUACAUCGGAAUCUACUUUUUCGUGGGGGAUAACGUAGGGAAACUUACGCUAAUACCUCAUACGACCUACGGGUGAAAGCAGGGGAUCUUCGGACCUUGCGCGAUUGAAUGAGCCGAUGUCGGAUUAGCUAGUUGGCGGGGUAAAGGCCCACCAAGGCGACGAUCCGUAGCUGGUCUGAGAGGAUGAUCAGCCACACUGGAACUGAGACACGGUCCAGACUCCUACGGGAGGCAGCAGUGGGGAAUAUUGGACAAUGGGCGCAAGCCUGAUCCAGCCAUACCGCGUGGGUGAAGAAGGCCUUCGGGUUGUAAAGCCCUUUUGUUGGGAAAGAAAAGCAGCAGGUUAAUACCCCACUGUUCUGACGGUACCCAAAGAAUAAGCACCGGCUAACUUCGUG